CUUACUGUCAUCUCUCUGUCGCUCUCUCUCAAACAUGCCCAAUCCAGAUAAAUAAAGGGCGGGAAACCCUCCUCCUCCAUCUAAUUCCAUCGCAUUCUUGCUCUUCGCCGCUCUCCCUCGACUCGAAGGUUUUGCCGAUCUACCAUGGGGCUUCACCUUCGAUGCCACCAUGUUCCUUCCGAGGCUGUGCCUCCGACCUCAUCGUGGUUGCCAACCCCGCCAUCAUCCAGAUGGCGAUCCAGGCCACCAUCGACUCGAUCUUGCUUAGCCCAAUCCAGGGACAAAACCUCGGUUCUCUUUAAACAUCCCGUCGCACAUAAAUGGACGGCCAGCUUUAGGUCGUCACGAAGGGCAGUUAAGAAGGGAAGGAGAUCCCACCCGAAAUUAAGAAUACUAUUCCUCGAAGACAGUUUUCUCCGAGGAAGCGAGAAAGCUUGCCGGACAAUACCCCUACCCACCGUCAGCCCGGUGGGACUCACGCGGUGAGGAACGGGUGCGGACGCUGCGAUGUAUCCCCUGGUGGAUAAGCAUUGAUUCCCCACGCGAUUGACGGUUACCCGCCGGAAGGCCCGCCUGCCUUGGCAAGAAUUUAGUCUCGGGCCCACUGGUGGGCCCAGACGAUGAGCUGCAUUUGGGAAUGCCGCAAACGCCGAUUAGGUAAGCGUAUGCAUUUUAUAUCUUACAAAUAAAAAAAGAAAAAAAAAAUUUAAAAAUUCCCUUGUCUAGGAGAUGAUCAUAAAAAUGUGGUGCUUGAGAUUGAUGGAUUGGAUUAUACGGGUCCAUAAAGCAUUUAUCAGGAAAAAAAAGUAGAGAUGUGAAUGAUAUCUCUUUUCUUUUCUGGAAAAUAAAAUUAUAGUUCUUUAUUAUUUCCUGGGAAAAAUGCUCUUCCUGGAGCAUGUGACCCAUUUGGUCGUUUACUGCCCCAAAAUCAGUCAAUUGCUUGUCCAUUCUCAUUGGACCAAGAAGACCUUUAUUCGCGAGUUGUUCUACAGAUGGCGCUAUCAAGAUAUCGCCAAAUGUGGAUGGGCCAAAAGCUACACCCUGCUACCAAAGAGACUGCCAAUUUCUGACGAAUGAGUCUAUAUAUAUGCUAUAAAAUAGUACGUCUUUA